CUCUUCGGGGAUGAUUAAACCGGCGCACGGGUGAGUAACACGUGAGUGACCUGCCUUUUAGACUGGAACAACUUACCGAAAGGUGAGCUAAUGCCGGAUGAGUUAUAUAAGUGCAUGUUUAUAUAGGAAAAGUUGGGGAGACCUGACGCUGAAAGAUGGACUCGCGUCCCAUUAGCUAGUUGGUAGGGUAAUGGCCUACCAAGGCGACGAUGGGUAGCCGGCCUGAGAGGGUGGCCGGCCACACUGGGACUGAGACACGGCCCAGACUCCUACGGGAGGCAGCAGUGGGGAAUUUUGCGCAAUGCUCGUAAGAGUGACGCAGCGACGCCGCGUGAAUGACGAAGGCCUUCGGGUCGUAAAGUUCUUUCGACAGGGAAGAAAAUGCCUAUAAGUAACUGUGUAUGUAUUGACGGUACCUGUAUAAGCAGCCCCGGCUAACUCCGUGCCAGCAGCCGCGGUAAUACGGAGGGGGCGAGCGUUGUUCGGAGUGACUGGGCGUAAAGAGCACGUAGGCGGUGUUGUAAGUCAUUAGUCAAAGACUAGAGCUCAACUUUAGUAAGGCUAGUGAUACUAUAAUACUAGAGUAUCAGAUAGGAUUGCAGAAUUCCUGGUGUAGCGGUGAAAUGCGUAGAUAUCAGGAGGAAUACCGUUAGCGAAGGCGGCAAUCUGGCUGGAAACUGACGCUGAGGUGCGAAAGCGUGGGUAGCAAACAGGAUUGGAUACCCUG
rnacentral:rRNA from 1 species